rnacentral:tRNA from 1 species
GUCGCCGUGGUAUAGUGGUUAUCGCGCUCGCUUCCCAUGCGGGAGGGCGGGGUUCGAAUCCCGGUGAUG